GCCUAACACAUGCAAGUCGAACGGUAACAGGAAGAAGCUUGCUUCUUUGCUGACGAGUGGCGGACGGGUGAGUAAUGUCUGGGAAACUGCCUGAUGGAGGGGGAUAACUACUGGAAACGGUAGCUAAUACCGCAUAACGUCGCAAGACCAAAGAGGGGGACCUUCGGGCCUCUUGCCAUCGGAUGUGCCCAGAUGGGAUUAGCUAGUAGGUGGGGUAACGGCUCACCUAGGCGACGAUCCCUAGCUGGUCUGAGAGGAUGACCAGCCACACUGGAACUGAGACACGGUCCAGACUCCUACGGGAGGCAGCAGUGGGGAAUAUUGCACAAUGGGCGCAAGCCUGAUGCAGCCAUGCCGCGUGUAUGAAGAAGGCCUUCGGGUUGUAAAGUACUUUCAGCGGGGAGGAAGGGAGUAAAGUUAAUACCUUUGCUCAUUGACGUUACCCGCAGAAGAAGCACCGGCUAACUCCGUGCCAGCAGCCGCGGUAAUACGGAGGGUGCAAGCGUUAAUCGGAAUUACUGGGCGUAAAGCGCACGCAGGCGGUUUGUUAAGUCAGAUGUGAAAUCCCCGGGCUCAACCUGGGAACUGCAUCUGAUACUGGCAAGCUUGAGUCUCGUAGAGGGGGGUAGAAUUCCAGGUGUAGCGGUGAAAUGCGUAGAGAUCUGGAGGAAUACCGGUGGCGAAGGCGGCC
rnacentral:rRNA from 1 species